rnacentral:lncRNA from 1 species
CGGGCUCCGGGCGGGGGAAUGUGUUGCAGUUUGUCCAAGAGCCCCAAGCCCAGCAAAGCCGCCCGUUCCCCGCUGGGGCGCAACUCUCACUGGAACUCUUGUUCUCUGACUGGGGAAUGGAAUGGGCUCAGCCAAGGCUCCCGAAACCAGCCCUGCCGCUCCCAGUUGUGGUCGCAUUCUCAAGAGCGGCUGACUGCGCCGUGGACCAUCACUUUCGCUUCUGCCUGCUCUUGCGCCUAUUGCGGCAACUACUCACGCUCCUACGGGACGAGGAGAGGGAGGUGAAUCCGUGGCAGAGACAAAUCUAAAGAUGCCACUCCCUAUGUUGCUUUACCAAAGGCUUAAGAACAACAGCAGAAGGACUUGGCCUUCAUCUCCCUGCUUCAGUCUCAUUAUAACUAAAUGUACAUUAGUGUGUUUUGGGGGUGAAUUACUUCCUCACACCACUGCCUAAAUAUUUACAAAAUCACUCAUUUUAGCUCAGAGGUUAUGCUUGGUUUUAAAUACUUCAAAUAGUUAAGUACAAUUGAACCCUAUUUAUUUAUUUAUUUAUUUUUGAGAGGGAGUCUUGCUCUGUCGCCCAGGCUGGAGUGCAG